AGUGAACGCUGGCGGUAGGCCUAACACAUGCAAGUCGAACGGCAGCACAGUAAGAUCUUGCUCUUACGGGUGGCGAGUGGCGGACGGGUGAGGAAUACAUCGGAAUCUACUUUUUCGUGGGGGAUAACGUAGGGAAACUUACGCUAAUACCGCAUACGACCUACGGGUGAAAGCAGGAGAUCUUCGGACCUUGCGCGAUUGAAUGAGCCGAUGUCGGAUUAGCUAGUUGGCGAGGUAAGGGCCCACCAAGGCGACGAUCCGUAGCUGAUCUGAGAGGAUGAUCAGCCACACUGGAACUGAGACACGGUCCAGACUCCUACGGGAGGCAGCAGUGGGGAAUAUUCGACAAUGGGCGCAAGCCUGACCCAGCCAUACCGCGUGAGUGAAGAAGGCCUUCGGAUUGUAAAGCCCUUUUGUUAGGAAAGAAAAACAGCAGGUUAAACUACGCAUGUCCUGACGGUACCUAAAGAAAAAGCAACGGCUAACUUCGUG
rnacentral:rRNA from 1 species